CCUACGGGCGGCAGCAGUGAGGAAUAUUGGUCAAUGGACGAGAGUCUGAACCAGCCAAGUAGCGUGAAGGAUGACUGCCCUAUGGGUUGUAAACUUCUUUUAUAAAGGAAUAAAACGAGGCACGUGUGCCUUUUUGCAUGUACUUUAUGAAUAAGGAUCGGCUAACUCCGUGCCAGCAGCCGCGGUAAUACGGAGGAUCCGAGCGUUCUCCGGAUUUAGUGGGUUUAAAGGGAGCGUAGAUGGGUUGUUAAGUCAGUUGUGAAAGUUUGCGGCUCAACCGUAAAAUUGCAAUUGAUACUGGCAGUCUUGAGUACAGUUGAGGUAGGCGGAAUGCGUGGUGUAGCGGUGAAAUGCUUAGAUAUCACGAAGAACCCCGAUUGCGAAGGCAGCUUACUAAACUGUGACUGACAUUGAUGCUCGAAAGUGUGGGUAUCAAACAGGAUUAGAUACCCUAGUAGUC
rnacentral:rRNA from 1 species